rnacentral:snoRNA from 1 species
UUCCAUGAUGAACCAGAGAUCCAAUCUCUAUAAUCCCAGCUCUUAGAACCCUCACUCACAACGCAAAGAGGUGUCGUGAUAGAACGUCCGAUCUGAUUUU